rnacentral:rRNA from 1 species
AACGAACGCUGGCGGCGUGCCUAACACAUGCAAGUCGAACGAGAAAGGGGCUUCGGCUCCGAGUAAAGUGGCGCACGGGUGAGUAACACGUGGGUAACCUGCCUCUAAGAUUGGGAUAACUCGUCGAAAGAUGAGCUAAUACCGAAUAAGACCUCAGUUCCCGCGGGAACAGGGGUCAAAGGUAGCCUCUGCUUGCAAGCUAUCACUUAGAGAUGGGCCUGCGCACCAUUAGCUAGUUGGUAGGGUAACGGCCUACCAAGGCAAAGAUGGUUAGCUGGUCUGAGAGGAUGAUCAGCCACACUGGAACUGAGACACGGUCCAGACUCCUACGGGAGGCAGCAGUGGGGAAUAUUGCGCAAUGGGCGAAAGCUUGACGCAGCAACGCCGCGUGAGUGAUGAAGGCCUUCGGGUCGUAAAGCUCUGUCGGGAGGAACGAAUGCUCCUGAGGUUAACAGCCUCGGGAGGUGACGGUACCUUCAAAGGAAGCACCGGCUAACUCUGUG